rnacentral:tRNA from 1 species
AGGUUUUUAGUAUAUUAGUACAUUUACCUUCCAAGUAAAAAGAUUAUGAAUCGUAAAAAACCUA